rnacentral:lncRNA from 1 species
CAUAUGUAUGUUCUAUAGUGUGUAGAGAAUUGCGAAGGGAAAGAACUACGAAGUAAUGCAUACGUAAGGCAUAUAAAACUAGUAUUAUAAUAAGCCUAGAUAUAUAUUAUACAAAUAUCUAGACAAAGACCUAGCUUUAGCUAGAUUACGGGAAAGGAGAAACACAAACUGUGACGUAAAUAGACAAGAACAAUAAGUAUGGAGGAGUACCAACUCAAAUCACGCAACCUUUUGGGGUAAAAACCAUAAUUUGAUAAAAAAUCCCUGUUGGUAAAUUCAUAUGAACUUUGUUCAAUUUAAACCUAUAAUAUUUGUCGUAGUUGUAAUUUUAUAUGAUAUUUCAAGCAAUUCUCGCAUUUAAUAUAAAAUUUUAAAUGAAAAAAUAAAUGUUUUGAAGCAAAAGUGAUGGAUUGAUUGCAUAUUUAUAACUCCAAAUCAAACUAAAAAUAUGUUAAAGGGGUUUGUUACGUAAAUAUUCAAAAAGACAGUGAAUGAAUUAUUUAAACUUAUAAAUUUGUUCUUCAAAAAUAAAGUAUUAACUUCAAAUUGAUUAUGUACAAGAUCAUUAUGUCACAAAUGAAACAUUAUAUCCUCUAUUCAUCUUUGAAUAAUAAUGUAAUUAAUUAAUAACAAUGAUUAUGUAUUUAUAUGUUGAUUGCCGAACUGAAACGGAUGGAAAACUUCAAAUUAGACUGUAUUGAUUUCCAAUAUCUCCAAUUUAUUAGCUUAACCGGAUCAAAGUAUUGUAAUUUUAAGUGAUAUGUUUGGAAUAAAAUAUAAGUUUUAAUCUAA